rnacentral:rRNA from 1 species
GAUGAACGCUGGCGGCGUGCCUAAUACAUGCAAGUCGAGCGAACAGACGAGGAGCUUGCUCCUCUGACGUUAGCGGCGGACGGGUGAGUAACACGUGGAUAACCUACCUAUAAGACUGGGAUAACUUCGGGAAACCGGAGCUAAUACCGGAUAAUAUAUUGAACCGCAUGGUUCAAUAGUGAAAGACGGUUUUGCUGUCACUUAUAGAUGGAUCCCCGCCGCAUUAGCUAGUUGGUAAGGUAACGGCUUACCAAGGCAACGAUGCGUAGCCGACCUGAGAGGGUGAUGGGCCACACGGGAACUGGGACACGGUCCAGGCUCCUACGGGAGGCAGCAGUAGGGAAUCGUCCGCAAUGGGCGAAAGCCUGACGGAGCAACGCCGCGUGAGUGAUGAAGGUCUUCGGAUCGUAAAACUCUGUUAUUAGGGAAGAACAAAUGUGUAAGUAACUAUGCACGUCUUGACGGUACCUAAUCAGAAAGCCACGGCUAACUACGUG